rnacentral:tRNA from 1 species
GGAGAGAUGGCAGAGUGGUUUAUUGCGUCGGUCUUGAAAACCGAAGUGCAGAGAACUGCACCGUGGGUUCGAAUCCCUCUCUCUCCGCCA